rnacentral:piRNA from 1 species
UGUUUAGUGGCUACCUGGAUGGCUGA